rnacentral:misc_RNA from 1 species
AACCUAGCACACCUGCGGUGUGUACCUGCGGAAGGAUCAUUACACAAUACAAUAUGAAGGCUGUCCGCAGCUGGAGUAUUUUAUUACCCUUGUCUUUUGCGCACUUGUUGUUUCCUGGGCGGGUUCGCUCGCCACCAGGACCACCAAAUAAACCUUUUUUAUGCAGUUGCAAUCAGCGUCAGUACAAACAAUGUAAAUCAUUUACAACUUUUAGCAAUGGAUCUCAGAUCGGAAGAGCAC